AUCCAUCUGACGAGUCUCGAAUAGGACGAAACUCGAUUCCUAGAU
rnacentral:hammerhead_ribozyme from 1 species